rnacentral:misc_RNA from 1 species
AAGUCGUAACAAGGUUUCCGUAGGUGAACCUGCGGAAGGAUCAUUGACAAAUCUAAACAUUGUUGCUUGGGGUGAGAGUCCGCUCUUGCCUCAAGUAUACACACAUCUUAACCUGUGAAUUGGCAGUACGCAAGUGCUGUUGUUUGGCAUAGCAGAGCGCUGACGCGUUACGUGUCUAGCUCUUCUGCUCCCUGCCUAAACAUUUACGUAAAUUAUUGUCUUAACUUUAAACAAACAAAUACAACUUUUAGCAAUGGAUCUCUUGGCUUCU